rnacentral:rRNA from 1 species
AUUGAACGCUGGCGGCAUGCCUUACACAUGCAAGUCGAACGGCAGCACGGGAGCUUGCUCCUGGUGGCGAGUGGCGAACGGGUGAGUAAUACAUCGGAACGUACCCAGGAGUGGGGGAUAACGUAGCGAAAGUUACGCUAAUACCGCAUAUUCUGUGAGCAGGAAAGCGGGGGAUCGCAAGACCUCGCGCUCUUGGAGCGGCCGAUGUCGGAUUAGCUAGUUGGUGAGGUAAAAGCUCACCAAGGCGACGAUCCGUAGCAGGUCUGAGAGGAUGAUCUGCCACACUGGGACUGAGACACGGCCCAGACUCCUACGGGAGGCAGCAGUGGGGAAUUUUGGACAAUGGGGGCAACCCUGAUCCAGCCAUGCCGCGUGGGUGAAGAAGGCCUUCGGGUUGUAAAGCUCUUUCGGCGGGGAAGAAAUGGCAACGGCUAAUAUCCGUUGUUGAUGACGGUACCCGCAUAAGAAGCACCGGCUAACUACGUGCCAGCAGCCGCAGUAAUAC